rnacentral:rRNA from 1 species
UACGUAGGGAGCAAGCGUUGUCCGGAAUCAUUGGGCGUAAAGCGCGCGUAGGCGGCCCUGUAAGUCCGUUGUGAAAGUCAAAGGCUCAACCUUUGAAAGCCGAUGGAUACUGCAGGGCUGGAGUCCGGAAGAGGCGAGUGGAAUUCCUGGUGUAGCGGUGGAAUGCGCAGAUAUCAGGAGGAACACCAAUAGCGAAGGCAGCUCGCUGGGACGGUACUGACGCUAAGGCGCGAAAGCGUGGGAGCGAACAGG